CAACGUGAUGAACCUCAGAUAGGGACAGCUUAUACUUCGGUAUUUGAUGAGAACCUUGAGACGAAUAUUUUAGUAGAUGCUUCGAUUAGCUGAAU
rfam:Fusarium poae strain 2516 chromosome FPOA_1 Chr1, whole genome shotgun sequence.